rnacentral:ribozyme from 2 species
AAUCGACUAGGCGAUUUAAAAUAGGUGUUAAGCCUAGUGCGGCAGGGUUCUUCCCUGCAUCACA